CCAUGGGGAAGGAUGAGAAGCUUCGACUAAGGUUCGACUCGAGCGCCAGCGAGAGAACGUUGCCACAGGCAACGGCCCGAAGGGCGAGGCGCUUUAGCGCCGAGUAAUCCUUCCCCCACCACCA
rnacentral:sRNA from 1 species